UACGUAGGGAGCAAGCGUUGUCCGGAAUCAUUGGGCGUAAAGCGCGCGUAGGUGGCCUCAUAAGUCCGCUGUGAAAGUCAAAGGCUCAACCUUUGAAAGCCGGUGGAUACUGUGAGGCUAGAGUACGGAAGAGGCGAGUGGAAUUCCUGGUGUAGCGGUGGAAUGCGCAGAUAUCAGGAGGAACACCUGCGGUGUAGACGGCUUUCUGGACCAUUGCUGACGCUGAGACACGAAAGCGUGGGUAGCAAACAGG
rnacentral:rRNA from 1 species